rnacentral:lncRNA from 1 species
AACUCUAUGCUCUAAUGUUAAUCAACAUGCCUACAACCAAAGGAGAGAGUAAAACCCAAAGUCAAGACAAGCAGCUUGAUGCUGAGGGAGAAGAUGGCAACGAGGAUGAAGACGACGAAGAAGAUGAUGAUGGAGAUGGUGCAUUUGGAGAAGGAGAAGAGGAAUUGUCAUCUGAAGAUGGAGGUGGAUAUGGCAACAAUUCCAACAAUAAGAGCAACUCAAAGAAGACUCCUGAAGGUGGUGCUGGUGGGGCAGAUGAAAAUGGAGAAGAGGAAGACGAUGAAGAUGGUGAAGGUGAUGACCAUGAUGAAGAUGACGAUGAGGACGAGGACGACGAAGAAGAGGAUGAGGUCGGAGAAGAGGACGAAGAAGAUGGUGUUGAAGAAGAGAAUGAAGAGGAAGAAGAAGACGAAGAUGAGGAAGCCUUGCAGCCACCAAAGAAAAGGAAGAAGUGAAUUUAGCUUAGUCAAGCCUCCUUUUGUAUUGUUGUGUACGAAUUUGGCUUCUAACUUCCCAUGAUGUUUUUUUUAAGUAUUAAACUUCUAUGUUCUUGUUUUCUUUAUAAGGAGGCCUAUGUAGGACAUGUUUUAAUUGAUAUCUGUGUUUACCAUUGCGUAAUUAGAAUUCUACAUUAUGUUGAGCAGUCAGUCUUAAAUUUACAAGACAGAAAAAAUAAUGAUCCUAGUUAAUUUUAACGUGACUUUUCUCACUUCACCAACUUCUGUAAUUUGUUUAUGUUCUACUACAGUUCC